GCUUUCCUGUAGCUCAGUGGUUAGAGCAUGGCGCUAGCAACGCCAAGGUCGUGGGUUCGAAUCCCAGGGGAUUGCA